GGGGCGGAGAGCAAGCGCCCGUCUAAAGGAGCCUGUUUUCUGUUUUAAAACAGCCAGAGGCGACAAUGUUUGCUGCACACGCUUUGCCCCAAACGGUUGCCAGGUGUGGGAUGAGGAGACGGCAGGAGCCGCCGUGUUCGUGGUGACCGUGCUUUCCGUCGCCUCGUGCAGGGCCAGACGCCUGGACCCGAAGUAAAACCCCCAACACAUGGAAGAUGUUAAUGAAGCAUUUUUUUAUUCUGGAAAGAAGACCACCAGACCACUGAGCACCAGCUUUGAAAACAACAUAAGCUUCCUCUGCCCUGGUCCUUAUCUGUGGCCGUUUUUUUCACUCCUCAAACUAUAAAACCACCUCCCAAGCUCCCCUAAGGGGGGCACCGUCUUUGAGGCAUUAGCCUGCGGUGACCCUCCUUUGCCUGGCAAAGCAAUAAAGCUAUUUUCUUCUCUUUUGCCCAACACUCCGUCUCCAUGUCUCUAUUUGGCACUGGUGGGCAGAGGCCGCAUCCUGGCAACAGUCUCUUUCAAGAAAAGGUUCAAAUCUAGAAGUGAAGAGAGCCAUGAAAAAAUUGUUCUCGUACAGUUUUUAAAGGUCAUUUUGAAAACAUGUUUCAUUUUCUGCCUCAGUGCAGACGCGGGCUUUUCUCUACUCAGUAAGAUCUUUGGCUUAGUUUUAUCAUCGCCAGAAAUAGGAUCUGCGUUCAGGAAAAAUGAAGAUCUGCUGACCCCCAGUUUGUUGUGACGGAAUGAACUCAAAUCUUCAACAGGAACGCAAAUAAAAUGAAUGUUAUUAAUGAAAAACGAGCCUAAAGAGAAUACGUAUGUUUUAUUUCAUAUCUGAGCUGAAAAGAUGACACAUAUCAUAUCAGACAUUCAUUAAGAUCCAGAAAUUUAUUUUAUUGAGCUAUAUUUUAAAUUAUCCUCUUGUCCGCUCCUGAGGGAUCUAGUGUAAGAAACUUUUAUUUCUUUUUGUUUCCAUCACUCUGAGAUCUAUCCUGUGUUAAAACACAGUACGUUGCUAAGAGCAACCUGUGGUCUUGACUUGAGCCAUCCCGGCUUUGCUCUCUCAUUGAAGUUGAAUGCAAUUCUACGGCUCAAUAUGAAUCAGAUGGGAUCUAAAAGUAGACCUGAAACUUCUCCAGAUGGUCAUGUGGAGCUCAGUGGGUGUAGUCCAUCGAGUCUCAAGAUUCUUCCGCACGACUUGUAUCUUCUGGAGAAACUACGUAUCAAAAACCUCAUGAAAAAUAAAAUAUUACCUGCCAUAUCAGUAAACAAGAAUGUCAGUGAUUUCAGCCACCUCAGACAGUGAGCAGAGCUGGUGAGCCCUGAGGGAACUCAGAAAGGAGACAAUACCUGCCAUCUAGCAGCCAUCAGACUCUAGCCACUCCGGAGGGUGAGCCCUGAGGAAAACUCAGGACGCAAGAACACAGGAUACUGGCCCUAGACAGCUGAGGUGCCUAUCAAAGGAACAAUUGCAGGGAGCCCAGCCUUUGCAUCUUCCUACACUAGAAAAGCUCUAAAAUCCUUGAGCUACCUGCCUUCUUUGAAUAGCAGUAAUCUUUUGCUCUUACUACUUGCCCUUGGUUGCAAAAUUCCUAUACAUCCUAGCUCCCCACUCAUUCAUAUGAGCAGGUUUUCUCAGGGUUACUUGAGAUGCUGCCUCUUGGGCUUAAGUCCUCAUCUCUCCCAGAAUAAAACUUAACGCUCAACUUUUAGGUUACACAUGUAUUUUUUUUUUAGUUGACACUCUCAAUGAGCUAUGUAUGUGUUAUUUGUGACAUAAAUUAUAACACAAUAAUAAUAAAUUAUAAGUUAAAUUCGAAGUGAAGAAUAACUGUUCAGUCAAGUUUAUUCAUUUAGAACGUAGCAUAUUUGGCAUUAAGCUAAAAUGCUAUUGAUAAAUAAAUAAAUAUCAUUAAUAUUUUCAUGGGAUAUUUGUUCCACAAUUCCAGACAGAUGUUUAAUGGACUUAUACACUAAGAUAUGAACUCCUAUAUUGUGAGAAUUAGGAAGGUUCUCUGAUAAUGCAAAUGAGAGGUCUUUUGGCUGAUUUGAGGUCAAGCCUCUAACUAUCACUUAACUAGUUGAUUAACAAACAAUGUGAAUUAUCCCUUGAUUAAUAACGCACUAUGCUAGCUGUACCCCUAAUUCCACUAGUAUUGAUAACAUUGAAUACAUAAAAUAGCCCAGGUAGAUGUGAUAAAGGAUUGACUGAAGGAAAUCCAAUCCUUGCAUUCAUCUUUAUAAUUGCAAAUUUAUACUUAAAUGGGAAGAAUAACAGAGCACUUUAGACCAGAACCACAAUGAUGUCAACAUCGCAUCCUUAUAAAAUUGUCUUUGCUGAAUCUUCAUUUCUUGUUAUGCAGGACACUAUAUGAAACAACAAGAAAAGUCAAUUGUUUUUAUUACAGAAAAUGCCGUAAGUUAUGACAAUGGGCUGUAUUGGUUAGGUCUUAUGAAAAAUAAAUUCUCCCAACUCAGCAUCAUAUACAGGACACUAUAUGAAACAAAAGAAAAGUCAAUUGUUUUUAUUACAGAAAAUGCCGUAAGUUAUGACAAUGGGCUGUAUUGGUUAGGUCUUAUGAAAAAUAAAUUCUCCCAACUCAGCAUCAGAAACAUUGAGCCUUUCCAGAACAAGUUGUUUUGAUCAAGCUUUUAUAAAACUAAUAAUUCAGAAGUCUCUCCUUUUUUGUAGACAAAAUGGUUGAAGGAAAAUUUGAAUUCACAUUGUAGCAAUUUUUAAGAAGCAUAACAUGAAUUUCUGUUUCUGUAAUCAGACAAUAUUUCCUUUUUCAUAUUUUACUUGGCCUGAUUUUCACUAAUUAUAUAUAUAUUUUUCUUCUUACUUGUAUUUUUCUGCAACCUAUGUCAAUUUAACAGUUAAGUGAGUGGCAAGGUAAAUAAAUAAACAAUAGUAAAGUAAAAAACAGAUUUGAAUUGGCGCUAAGAUGAUAUGGAGAAUUUCCUAAAUAGUUUGAUUGAAGAGAGACAAUGAUUUUAACUAGAUCAAUCCUCCUUAAAAAAAAAAAAAAGAAUAGUCUGGGACAGAAUAAUCAAAGUCUUAAACAUGACCAAAAUUCAUCUUGAAAAUGACCAGGGUCUUUUGGUUAUAACCUUUGAAAAAUUUUAAAGAAUUGUAUAACUAUGAUAUUGGAAAUAUGAAAGAAAAGUUCUGAUAUUUUCAUUCAUAAUGCAUGCAAUAUAUUUUUUUCACUUUGUAAUUAUGAGCAUGUAUCCCCACACAAUAAAAAUUGCAUCGA
rnacentral:lncRNA from 9 species